UACGUAGGUGGCAAGCGUUAUCCGGAAUUAUUGGGCGUAAAGAGCGCGCAGGUGGUUGAUUAAGUCUGAUGUGGAAGCCCACGGCUUAACCGUGGAGGGUCAUUGGAAACUGGUCGACUUGAGUGCAGAAGAGGGAAGUGGAAUUCCAUGUGUAGCGGUGAAAUGCGUAGAGAUAUGGAGGAACACCAGUGGCGAAGGCGGCUUCCUGGUCUGUAACUGACACUGAGGCGCGAAAGCGUGGGGAGCAAACAGGAUUAGAUACCCGGGUA
rnacentral:rRNA from 1 species